CAGCGGGCCCACUGACCAGCAGCUACUCCAGCAGGCUGACGGCCGUUACGCGCCGCGCCCGAUGCCAGUUUUACCCUCCUCCCGCGGCGCGGUGAGCUGACGACUCGUUCUUCCUUCGCUUCUCUAGCAUAUACUUGGUCGUGAGGAAGAGCGGCCGCGGCGUCGUCUUCCUCCUCGCGAUCGCCCGCACAAAUCCAAACGAAUUCACUGCGACCAGUCUCCGAUUCACCAACGCCCUCCUCUUGUACUGCCGCCUUCGUCCCCAGGCCGGCAGCCCUUCCUGCCACCUCGCUGAGGGCUGCGGAACAACUGAGCCCCCGUGCCGCGUGCCGUCUGCAACGGCGCCGAGGAGGUGCUAAAGCAGGCAAGCAGCCGCCCCCGCUGCGCCGCCAAUGGCUCGGAUCCAGCCUGUAAGUGACUCCGUGCCGCCGCGCUUGUGUUGUUCAGGAUUUUGUGGUGGUUCAGGGCCUCUGGGGUUUCGUUUUUUCGGAACUUCGGAUUGGUUGGUGCCGUUCGGAGCGGGGAUGUCGUGCGUGUGGUUUGAGGCGCUUUGCCGGCGUUUUUGUCAGUUUUUUUUUUGGAUCGAGGCGGAUGAGCGAUUCCAGUCAGGCAACUUCACUGCUCCAGUGCAAGCUCUGCUUUUGGUGCGGGAGUUCGGAAAUCACAAGGGAGACGAAGUGACGAACAGAGCGGGUCAAAACUGAUCUCACCUUGCAGUAUUGCCGUUACUUCCUUACGCCUUACCGCAGCUGGCUGUGGCUUCUCACUUCUGUGUGUGAUUGAGUGUGGUGUGGAAUGCAAGUAUGGAAUAAUUGUCUAUGUACUGGCGUUCACGUUCUGUUACCCGUCCUGCUGCUAUCAAUGUUACAUGUUACUUCACAUCCGCCACCAGAGUCCGUCUACAUUGAUUUAUUACUUUACUUUACUGGACGGAUCCUACCGCUACCGGUUAGUGAAUUUCAGAACAGUAAUGCAUGUGUUGGAUGAAAGAAUGGACCCAUUUCUUGGUAGAUUGGCUAGACCAGUCACCAUUGACCAAUCAUGGUUUACCGCCCAGGGUGAUCUGUCCUUGCUCAACAGACCGGCUUCCAGUGACACUAAGACUUCUGCAGAGCUUAACAAUGGUUUAAUCGAGUUCAACGAUGCAACUGCGCCAUCGCCAGGAUUGUCGUGUCAUAAUUGCUCUAGUGUCGCAAGCAACUUCAAACCAUUUGCAACUGUAGUGUCAGGGCUGCAUCAACACUUCUUGGAUGCAAAUGUAGAAGUUACUUACGCAGAAUACUUGGAUUUGAUGAAAGUGGAAGUCGAUCAGCAGCUUAAUAAGCUCAUCGAGGAUAUAAGGGUCCUCAAGAGCUAUAACGUGGCUCAUAAAUGUGACCUAAAUGACCCGUGCUCUACACUAGGCCAUGUUGGGAAGCUGACUGAGAUAGACGAGGGGUUCAACAGCUUGAAGUUGCUGCUGGUUGUGGUGUUCCGACAAAUUAGAGAGAUGCUCACACUGGUUAAUUCUUCAAUUCAUGAUUUUCAGUGGGAGCAUGAGUUACAGUUAGAAAUUACUGGCUUUAUUAUUGGAGACUGUGUCAGAGGUCUUAAGGAUGAACUAGAGAGGAAGUUGUAUGAGCAAAGCUCCAUUGUGAACAGUCUAAGAAAAAAUUCGCAAGAAACUGUGGCUCAGUGUGCUUCCAUCCGUGAAGACCUGAUUGCUAUUUCUAAUAUGCUAUUACCUUCAGAAGAGGAACACCAUAUUCCUCUGUGUAGACAUGAAAGUUUGGGUAAUUGGAGCGACAGAUGGAAGUUCAGCUUUUUCAGAAAGAUACCACAAAAGGAUCACUCUCUAUCUUCCUCUGAGGAAAAUCAGAAAUCUGCAACACAGAAAUCUAUAAGUCCCAGUGAAGUUAUUUCAGAAAAAUCUGACUUCCGACAUCUGAAGGGCAUGACUGGACAAGAAAUUCUUAACUAUUUCAGAUCUGAGAUCAGUAAAUUGAAAAUGUUGCAUGAGCUGGAUUUGCAGGAGAAAACAGAAGAGCUGUUCAAAUUCAAACGAGAGAAAUGGUCACUGGCUCUCAAGUACGAUGUAGAAUUUGAGCCUUUGAGGAAGAGAUUCCCUGAAGUCAUUUCAAGAUUUGACCAAAUUAUGUCCAAUGGAAUGGAAGCACCUACAAUCAGUACUAGUGAUGCAGUUGAUGAAAGGAGCAGAUUGAAUAGUAGAAUUGAUUCACUAUACUGUGAAAACCAGCAUCUUAGGAAUUUGCUUGCAGAGAAGACAAAGAAUGUUCAGGAAUUAUCCUGCCAGAUAUCUGAUGCCAGCAAGAAAAUGUCAUCUCAAUAUUAUCUAGAGAAAGAACAUUUGAGACAAGUCAAGAACAUUAAAGAAGAGUAUGAGGAUCUAUAUGUUGAAAGUACAAUAAGAGAUGAAAUUUACCAAACUGUUACAAGCAAAUUGGUUGAUAGUCAUAGGGACAUCUUGGAGGAGACUACCCAAAUUUUGCAUGCUAAAGUUUCCUCACUUGAAGCUGCACAUUCAGAAAAGGACAUGGCGCUGUGUUUAUCUAACGAAGAAAAUAGGAAGCUGAAGGAAAAGUUGUCAAUACUAGAAAAGGUGCAUUUCAUCAAAGAUAAUCAGCAUGAUCAAUUGCUAAUGAAACAAGAGAGUGAGGAAAUGAUACUCCGUGAUAUUGAGAUGGAGCCCCACGUGCCGCCACAAAGAUCAUGUCAGAUUUCUGAUCAGGAUAUGCAGUAUGAAGAACUCAUCAAGCUGAAUCAGACAUUAGAGAUGGCCUCAACCACCUUAAAAGAAGUUGAAACAAAAAAGUUGGAUUACAGUGACAUCACUAGUGAAAGAAAGCAAGAAAAACAGUUAGAUUCCAUCCUGAUAUCUAUCAUGGAUUUGUCAAAAGAAUUUGUGGAGAUGGAACAUAAAAUGUCAGAAGAAAUAAAAGGAAAUGAGAAAAAGACGGAGAAUCUAAAUGAUCGGUGCAACCAUAUGGUGCAGCAGGCCAUCGUACUGACAAAGAAGGGCCUGUGGUACAAGCAAAUGCUUGAGAUAAGACGUUCUGAGCUUCAAAAGGCUGAAUCUGAGGUUGACGUUUUAGGAGGCAAGGUCAAUGCACUCUUAAGUCUUGUUCAAAAGAUAUAUGUAACUCUUGAGCACUACUCUCCUGUUUUUCAGCACCAUCCUGUGCUACUGGAUGCUUUCUUGAAGACAUGCAAGCUUGUUGCAGGUAUAAGAAGUAGACAAAAAGAGAACUUGCAAGAUACAACAUAAGUUGGAAUAGCUAGAUUACUGUGAGUUCGUGACGUUAGUUUCUACCACACCGUGACUCCCUAACUCUUCUUAGAAGACAGCAAAAGCAGUUAACUAUAACCACAAAUGAAGGGGCAUCGCUCUCUCCCGUGGGCGGCUCGGGAGGCGAAACCCUAGCCGCUGCCCCACUCUCCCCCGCCCUCUCCGUCUCGCCGCUGCCAGAGGGGCUGGCCGGGUUGGCCGCGCGGGCCCCCAUGACGGCGGCGGCGAGGCAUCCCCUGUUGGCGUUGAGAGCUCCCAGAUUCGUGCGGGGAAGGAGCUCGUGGCCAAGGCUUGAUCUUGGUGGCCGUGGUGGUGCUGUGCGACGUCGUGGGCACCUCAUGGGGAGAUUCGUGCUGUGCGGCGAGGCAUCCCCUGUUGGCGUUCCGGAGUUUUGGCCUGACAGGUUGUGCUGGGAGCUUCUUGGCGAAAGCCUCGCGACGGUGACGCCAUGGGCGCGGUUUUCCCUCAUAAGGGCGUCGCACGGUGAAAGCCCGAUCCAUCUUGGACAUGCGAUGAUGGCGUCCUCGAUGUCACUGCCUAGGCGCCGUUUUUGAAGUUCGUCUCGGCCACGUUGUUCUCUUUUGGUUGCUUUUGCUUCUCGGCGUCCGAUAUAUGGGUGGAGGUGUGGUCCUCCAGCGUGAAGUCGGAGCUGCUACAUCAGUUAAUGUGGGUCGACAACGAUGACAUAAGGCGUGCCCCCUUCUUCGCGGACCAGUUUGCUUCGGAGGCUGAGCGUUUUGCCGAGGCAGGGCGGAGGAUCAAGUUUGGAAGUCCUAUUGGUGAAGAAUCGGAACUGCCUCGCUCGGGUGUCUAGAGGCUUGGCAACGACGCCGCGCCGCGGUCUUCAUCCUUCUGUGCCGUUUUUGGGUAUAGACAUUGUUGGUUUCCUCAUUUGGCCUUGUGUUGCUCGUUUUGGAGAGUCGGUGUUGCUCGUCCUUUGUGUUGAGCUCGACCACAAUGAUCUUGUAUGAGCCUUGUGUGUUGGGCUACCAUUGUCUAGGUUGCUUGUGCACCCUGUGUAGGUAAUUGACUCGGUUUUCCUUAAAACUAGGUCAAUUCCUUUCUUCUUUUUAAUUGAGAAGUAGAGCUCCUGUCAUCACAUUAAAAAAACAUCAACACUGAUUUAUUAAAUGGUUAUGUUUCCUGCAGAAUAUUUUUUAUGAA